CCUCCUUUCUAAGGAUGAUUAAGGAUUAUUUCUUAAUCUAAAUAAUAUAACAGGUUAAUGUUGACCGUCCUCAUUUCUCUUCUUAAAGUAGUGUUUCUCUUUUCUGCAUAGGGGCCGGUAGCUCAGUUGGUUAGAGCACACCCUUGAUAAGGGUGGGGUCGAAAGUUCGAGUCUUUCUCGGCCCACCAAUAUAAUGGGGGAUUAGCUCAGCUGGGAGAGCGCCUGAUUUGCAUUCAGGAGGUCAGCGGUUCGAUCCCGCUAUCCUCCACCAAGAAACAUUUAGUUAUUUAAUUUGUAAAUAUUUUAAUAUUAUCAAUAUCUAUAUCCGAUUGUUCGAAUAGACGAACAAUCAUGAAUGUUCGAAUAGAUGAACAUUCCAAUAAAAAUUUGAUUCAACACAGAAUUUUUUUCUGUGCAUAAAUCAAGCGUUUAAGGGCGUGUGGCGGAUGCCUUGGCACUGAAAGCCGAUGAAGGACGUGGUAUA
rnacentral:misc_RNA from 1 species